rnacentral:rRNA from 1 species
AACGACUCUCGACAACGGAUAUCCCGGCUCUCGCAUCGAUGAAGAACGUAGCGAAAUGCGAUACUUGGUGUGAAUUGCAGAAU